rnacentral:rRNA from 1 species
UACAGAGACUGCAAGCGUUAUUCGGAUUCACUGGGCGUAAAGGGUGCGUAGGCGGUUUGGUAAGUCUGAUGUGAAAUCUAUGGGCUCAACUCAUAGUCUGCAUCGGAAACUGCCGGGCUUGAGUGUGGGAGAGGUGAGUGGAAUUCCUGGUGUAGCGGUGAAAUGCGUAGAUAUCAGGAGGAACACCUGUGGCGAAAGCGGCUCACUGGACCAUAACUGACGCUGAUGCACGAAAGCUAGGGGAGCAAACAGG